rnacentral:rRNA from 1 species
GCAAGUCGAGCGGUAACAGGAAGUAGCUUGCUACUUUGCUGACGAGCGGCGGACGGGUGAGUAAUGCCUAGGAAAUUGCCUUGAUGUGGGGGAUAACCAUUGGAAACGAUGGCUAAUACCGCAUAAUGCCUACGGGCCAAAGAGGGGGACCUUCGGGCCUCUCGCGUCAAGAUAUGCCUAGGUGGGAUUAGCUAGUUGGUGAGGUAAUGGCUCACCAAGGCGACGAUCUCUAGCUGGUUUGAGAGGAUGAUC